AACGAACGCUGGCGGCAUGCCUAACACAUGCAAGUCGAACGAGACCUUCGGGUCUAGUGGCGCACGGGUGCGUAACGCGUGGGAACCUGCCCUUAGGUUCGGAAUAACUCCCCGAAAGGGGUGCUAAUACCGGAUAAUGUCUUCGGACCAAAGAUUUAUCGCCUUUGGAUGGGCCCGCGUUGGAUUAGCUAGUUGGUAGGGUAAAAGCCUACCAAGGCGACGAUCCAUAGCUGGUCUGAGAGGAUGAUCAGCCACACUGGGACUGAGACACGGCCCAGACUCCUACGGGAGGCAGCAGUGGGGAAUAUUGGACAAUGGGCGAAAGCCUGAUCCAGCAAUGCCGCGUGAGUGAUGAAGGCCUUAGGGUUGUAAAGCUCUUUUACCCGGGAUGAUAAUGACAGUACCGGGAGAAUAAGCUCCGGCUAACUCCCUG
rnacentral:rRNA from 1 species